UCUGAUCAGUGGCGAACGGGUGAGUAACACGUGAGUAACCUGCCCCAGACUCUGGGAUAACCCCGGGAAACCGGAGCUAAUACCGGAUAUGACACCAGUGCGCAUCCGUAUGGUGUGGAAAGUUUUUCGGUCUGGGAUGGACUCGCGGCCUAUCAGCUUGUUGGUGAGGUAGUGGCUCACCAAGGCGACGACGGGUAGCCGGCCUGAGAGGGCGACCGGCCACACUGGGACUGAGACACGGCCCAGACUCCUACGGGAGGCAGCAGUGGGGAAUAUUGCACAAUGGGCGAAAGCCUGAUGCAGCGACGCCGCGUGAGGGAUGACGGCCUUCGGGUUGUAAACCUCUUUCAGCAGGGAAGAAGCGCAAGUGACGGUACCUGCAGAAGAAGCACCGGCUAACUACGUGCCAGCAGCCGCGGUAAUACGUAGGGUGCGAGCGUUGUCCGGAAUUAUUGGGCGUAAAGAGCUUGUAGGUGGUUUGUCGCGUCUGCUGUGAAAAUCCGAGGCUCAACCUCGGACUUGCAGUGGGUACGGGCAGACUAGAGUGUGGUAGGGGAGACUGGAAUUCCUGGUGUAGCGGUGGAAUGCGCAGAUAUCAGGAGGAACACCGAUGGCGAAGGCAGGUCUCUGGGCCAUUACUGACACUGAGAAGCGAAAGCAUGGGGAGCGAACAGGAUUAGAUACCCUGGUAGUCCAUGCCGUAAACGUUGGGAACU
rnacentral:rRNA from 1 species